UAGAAUAGGGUGUGUAUUGGGUAGCACGAGGGAUUUUGAAUCCUUAGGAGCAGGUUCAAUUCCUGAAAUUCUAG
rnacentral:tRNA from 1 species